GCGACAUCCAGUGAUCUUCCACAUCUUUCCAUCUCGCGGCGGUUCGGAGGCACAAUCUCUGUAGAGCUGGAUGCGCUUUACGCGCCCCUUCCCCUCUGAUAUGGACGCAAGUGGGGUCUACCUGCGGAAGUGUGCUUGGCCCGAAGACUCGGACAGACCGAACGACGCAAAUGCAAGAGAUAUGACCUCCUGGCUGAUUGAAAGGCAGCUGCAAAACCUGCAGAAGCCCCCCGGCCCCCCAUCUUCCCCCCACCCCCAGCCUCAGCCACUGCCUAAACAGGACCCCGAGACCCAAUGAGAGCUUCAGCUGGCCAACUGUGAAGGGAAAGAAGGCACAGAGGGAUGAGGUAUCGAGUCGUUGAACACAGCUUGAUGUCACAGACAUCAUCCAGAAUGUGGGGACCUAGCACCUGGACUUCAUCACCUGGCCUGCUUGCACCUCGUAAUGGGGACUCUCAUCAGUGCAAUGGCUGGACAUUCAGACUGGUUAGACUCUCAUAUGAAUAGUACCACAGAAACUAGUUUUGUUAGGGAGAUGCAAAAAUUCAGGUCUAAUUAAAUUAUUUCUGCAACAGGAAGAAGAUUAAUAACUUGCACAACAACCGCCCAGAGAUUUACAAGUUAAACUAUCUGCACAUUUCUUUUUUGUACAUGAAGCUACAAGAGUACCUCUACACUUCAACCUGCAUCUUCCCCAGAGCUUUCCAGUGGGUUAUGAAUCAUUCUGAUAUUGCAGAUAUAACAGGUGAUAUAGUGAACCUUUAAUGGCUGGUGUUGGGAACUCAUUUGCUCCACAUCCCAGUCAGACUGACAGUUAGGCUACUUUUACAGCUCUCACCAAUGGUGUUUCAUCAAAGUUACAAACCCACUUUAGUAUAACAGUGGGUUUAGAAUAACAGCUCAACUGAACUUCUUGAACUGGAACAUAAUUAUGCUCAUUCAGAAUCACAGAAAAAAUAAAGUAGAAUUGCAACUGAGUUAGAUAAUGCAGAUGUUCUUAAAAUCCCAUGAGUCUGCAUUGGUGUGGAGGGGUCUUACUAGGGUUUUAACCUGCAUUCUGCCGUGAAGACCAGUCAGUGUGGUCCAGGAUCUCAGCCUUGAGUACUGGCAGAGCCCCUGUUUUGGCAGCAGUUCCCAGGUUUCCCCAGGCUGAGAACAAGAGAUGAGUCACAUGAGGGUGUGUUCCACUUUCUGCUGCUCUCUUUUUACUCUGUUCCUCUUCAGGAGCCCAGGAGCUUGCUGGUAGAAAGGGGUCUUGUGGCCCUACGACGCCUUACCUCAACUGCGGUAUGUGUAUCCAUCUGGCUCCUCAGAGGGGGGGCCUCGACAAUGCUACCGUGCCAUGAAGAAGUGGGACAUAAAAACUCAAUUCACACAGGGAUGUCCUCCACUGUUUCCAUUGCAGGAGGCCACACAACAUUUCCAUUGCAGGAGGCCACACUACAUACAUUUAGAAACCACUUGAUAAUGACUAUAGAUCCCUUGCUGCUAAGCAGAGUAAGCUGUGCCAGAAUUGAGGUGGGAUCAGUGACCUGGAUGGAUUUGACUCAAAUGUAAUUCAUAAGAGGAUCCCACAUGGUCAAAUAGGAAAUGAAUACUCUGACAUAGUGUUGAUUAUACAUUUUUGCCCACCAAGCACGAAGACUAAUCAUAAUGAAAUAACAUGUCUGAAGUACGUCAACAGAGAGAUGAACGGUAUUUAAUGCUCAACUGCAUUUUCCAAAGAAUAACAAAUCUUAAUCUUGGGUUGUUUAAAAUAAUAGCCUUUAAUCUGUUAUGAUGGCCAUUGAGCAUUCUGAAUCCUGGGAGAAUAUCAUGUAAUUGCUCCUCGGUGGAAUUCUCCUUUGAAAGACGUCAAAAUGAUGGUGAUUUUCUUCCUAAUUUUCUUGUUGCCUUGGUUGUCAAACCAGGAGGUCUGGAGAUUUUGGAGUGUCCUUUGAACAGCUCCAUCCACUAAACAGCAGGCUCUUAAACAUGAGGCUUCACUGUGCUGUCUGACUUCAGCAUCCACACGUCCUCUCCUAGGCUGCUGCAGUACUCCAGGGAACCCACCACUCUCUGCAUGCCCAGUGCAGCCCUCACAGCAUACACUAGCUCCCUCUUCUGAAAAAAGAUGCAGUAUGUCUAACCCAUGCGGCGGAGCUGUUACCAUCCCCUGCUGAGUGCGCCCCCCCCUCCCCCGGAGAGUGAAUUAUUCAAGCAGAGGGAGGCUCAACAUGUCGACCGAAGAAGAGGAUCAGUGCUGACAGCAGUCUGGGUCUGAGCUCCAACCUGCGUCUGCAUCUGUUUAUACUCAACAGCGUAUAUGAAGUGUCAUCAAAGUGGAGGGACUUCAGCAAUAUGCUCCUCAAAUUAGUUACGCCUUGCCGUUUGAUCCAAUUGAGCACGAUGACAGAUGACUCACAUCCCCAGUCAUAUGUCUUGUGUGUUUAUCCACCUCUGUGGCUGUCUGGAAUUUGAGGGGAGGGGCAGGGAAGGUAUAAAAGCUCAGGUGAUGCUCAGUCUCGUCACUGCUGACACAGAAGCAGUCACAGCGACAGACACGCAUACAGUAUACUCAACCGCCUGCAGAUACACGCACACACAAAUGCACAAACUGGACUAAUAAACAGGAUUUGUAGGUGGAAUUCUCUUUUGGUGCCUUAAAGCAAGCUGGUGGGCGCACUGUGGGUGCGUGUGAAGGGGUGCAGAUAAAUUUCCUGGCGAGAAAAUCUUGCUCUGGCAGAAUCAAUACUCAUAGCAGCUCCACAUCAGAACGUCUCAAAAAGCCUGCCUAGUUCUGACUCAAAGACUGAUUCAGGCAUUUACCACGUGGUAGUCUAGCUGAGGUAGGUGGUACCUAGCAGGACAGGUGUAUGAUUUGUGACAAAAGAGGAGAGGAAAGCUGGCCAUAAGACUGAGGGCCUUUUUGUCUUUGUCAGCUUGUUUUUUUGAUGGAAGGAUUUACAGUGGAUGGGAGACAGAGUUGGAUAGAAAAUACCAGGAUGAGCAGGGUGUUUGCCUGAGGUGGAGCAGCACUUUGGUGAGAGAGAGCUUUAGUGUGUCUGAUUGUAGUUCAGGUUGUGUUGAGAGGAGGCCUUCGCAAGGGAGGGCUGUACCUGAGGGUUUUACCUCAUCUGAUUUGGUUGUAGAUUAAUGGAAGGAAAUCUGAUUGGAGCAUUUGAGAUGAUAAUACGAGGACUGUUCAUUUUUUGCAGAUUCAUUUGAUUAUUUCUCCAUUAGACCCUCUGCUUUAUUAAGGUUUGUAAUGGAGUAAAAUUGGCAUGAUAUGAUGGAAAUCAUAAAGAGUUGUGGUGAAAAAGAGGAGAGCCUUUGUAAAAAAGUAGAACAUGGAAACCGAAAUCACUAAGAUGCGUAACAUAAUCUAAAUGUCUCAUUUGAUCAAAUCUCAUUGGAUGAGGUAUACCUCAAUGCCAUAAAAUGCCUUAAUGAAUGAGGGGGCAGUUUCAUUCUUUUGUUGCAUUGUACCCUCAUUUUGUGAAAACUAACCGGUUUCCUCUUACUAUCAGUUUGGCCUACUAAAACACUAACUCUGCAGACUAAUCAAUUUAUGUGAUGUUUUUUCCUUAAAUCUGUCUGUUUUUUUAUCCUGCCUUCCAUCCAAGGCCAUUAAACAUACUGCAUAAUCUAUUGUUAUGUGACAGAACUACGAAGGUUGUGCUCAGAGUGACUUUUCAAAGUUGCCAUAUUGCAUUCUCAUAACAUGUCUGUUAUGCUGUUGUGCUUUUGUUAUGUUGCAUAGGAGUUACAGCAAAGUUGUAGGAAUGUUACCUGUUUGAAGGGUUGGGAGUUCAGAAUUUCUCUCCUUUUCUUCCAGUCUGCUCGGUGCCUCUCUGUCGUGUGAAUUCUGCAUGCAAGAGCUGCUCCUAUUGCUCUGGAAACCUAAAUCAGUGGUUCAACAACUAACAAAUGCCAGUAAACCUGGCUACUAACCUUUACUAACAGAGAUUAACCAACUAUACUAAAACCUUUGCAAGCCUGCUAAAUAAGCGCUCUCUGUCUAUACUGUAAAUGUCUUUCUGCUGCUGUGGUCUUUUCUCUUUUUCUCUUGUCCUGCUGCUACUAUUGUCAGUUAGUGUGGGUGUGUUUAUAUUUGUGAGGAAGCCAGAGCAUGUGAGAGCGUAAGUCAAUGUGUGCGCAUGUGUGAGGAUGAAAGGGUGUGUAUAUGUAUGUUUGUGUGUGUGAGUGAGAGUUAUUGGAUGUGUUUACUUAUUUCAGUGCAAGUGACUUUCUGAACAUUGCUUUCUUUACCAGUCAUGCGCACAGCUGAUGUGUACAGGAGCGAUUCUGUGAAAAAUCUGCAGCCAUCUUCUUUCUGGCAUUCUGUGCCAGUGGACUUACUAACAAUGUCUAACAUUUUACUAACGUUUUCUAACAAUCUGGGUACUAACUGCCUUAGUGUUUGGUUCUCAUGUGAUGUGGGCUGGGCUUCCUGUAAGCUGUGAGAUGCUGACUAACUGCUAUUGAUGGGCUCUCUGACCCAUUUUGACCACACCUCUGGUUCUGAAACCCUUUCUCACCCCUGCUGGAGCCAUGUGAUGAA